AGAGUUUGAUCCUGGCUCAGGAUGAACGCUAGCGGCAGGCUUAACACAUGCAAGUCGAGGGGCAGCAUGAAGUAGCAAUACUUUGAUGGCGACCGGCGGACGGGUGCGUAACGCGUAUGCAACCUACCUUAAACAGGGGGAUAACACUGAGAAAUUGGUACUAAUACCCCAUAUUAUUCGAGACGGCAUCGUCUUGGGUUGAAAACUCCGGUGGUUUAAGAUGGGCAUGCGUUGUAUUAGCUAGUUGGUGAGGUAACGGCUCACCAAGGCGACGAUACAUAGGGGGACUGAGAGGUCAACCCCCCACAUUGGUACUGAGACACGGACCAAACUCCUACGGGAGGCAGCAGUGAGGAAUAUUGGUCAAUGGACGCAAGUCUGAACCAGCCAUGCCGCGUGCAGGAAGACGGCUCUAUGAGUUGUAAACUGCUUUUGUACGAGGGUAACAGCAUCUACGCGUAGGUGCAUGAAAGUAUCGUACGAAUAAGGAUCGGCUAACUCCGUGCCAGCAGCCGCGGUAAUACGGAGGAUCCAAGCGUUAUCCGGAUUUAUUGGGUUUAAAGGGUGCGUAGGCGGUUUGAUAAGUUAGAGGUGAAAUACCGGGGCUCAACUCCGGAACUGCCUCUAAUACUGUUGAACUAGAGAGUAGUUGCGGUAGGCGGAAUGUAUGGUGUAGCGGUGAAAUGCUUAGAGAUCAUACAGAACACCGAUUGCGAAGGCAGCUUACCAAACUAUAUCUGACGUUGAGGCACGAAAGCGUGGGGAGCAAACAGGAUUAGAUACCCUGGUAGUCCACGCAGUAAACGAUGAUAACUCGUUGUCGGCGAUACACAGUCGGUGACUAAGCGAAAGCGAUAAGUUAUCCACCUGGGGAGUACGUUCGCAAGAAUGAAACUCAAAGGAAUUGACGGGGGCCCGCACAAGCGGAGGAACAUGUG
rnacentral:rRNA from 1 species